rnacentral:rRNA from 1 species
GUAGGGGACGAGCGUUGUCCGGAUUCAUUGGGCGUAAAGCGCGCGUAGGCGGCUCGGAAAGUCGGUCGUGAAAUGCCGGGGCUCAACCCCGGGACUGCGUCCGAUACUCCCGAGCUGGAGGCAGGUAGGGGAGAUCGGAAUUCCUGGUGUAGCGGUGAAAUGCGCAGAUAUCAGGAGGAACACCGGUGGCGAAGGCGGAUCUCUGGGCCUUGCCUGACGCUGAGGCGCGAAAGCUAGGGGAGCGAACAGGAUUAGAUACCCUGGUAGUCCUAGCCGUAAACGUUGGGUGCUAGGUGUGGGCGGAUAUCGACCCCGUCCGUGCCGAAGCUAACGCAUUAAGCACCCCGCCUGGGGAGUACGGCCGCAAGGCUAAA